rnacentral:rRNA from 1 species
UACAGAGGUCUCAAGCGUUGUUCGGAUUCAUUGGGCGUAAAGGGUGUGUAGGUGGCGCGCUAAGUCAGGGGUGAAAUCCUGGAGCUCAACUCCAGAACUGCCUUUGAUACUGGGGAUCUCGAGUCCGGGAGAGGUGAGUGGAACUGCGAGUGUAGAGGUGAAAUUCGUAGAUAUUCGCAAGAACACCAGUGGCGAAGGCGGCUCACUGGCCCGGUACUGACGCUGAGGUGCGAAAGCGUGGGGAGCAAACAGG